CAGCAGCCGCGUAAUACGAAGGGGGCUAGCGUUGUUCGGAAUUACUGGGCGUAAAGCGCACGCAGGCGGCUCGAUAAAUUAGAAGUGAAAGCCUUGGGCUUAACCUGAGAAUUGCUUUUAAGACUGUCGAGCUAGAAUCCAGAAGAGGGUAGUGGAAUUCCGAGUGUAGAGGUGAAAUUCGUAGAUAUUCGGAAGAACACCAGUGGCGAAGGCGACUACCUGGUCUGGCAUUGACGCUCAUGUGCGAAAGCGUGGGGAGCAAACAGGAUUAGAUACCCGUGUAGUCCCUGUCUCUUAUACA
rnacentral:rRNA from 1 species